UAAAACAUCUGUUUUGAGUCGUGUUUUUUGUGUUAAAUCGAAACUGGUCUUGUUUAAUAUGACAGUAUACAAAGAAUUCUUCUCUCGGUAACACGUGUGCUUAACUUGUAAUAUAUAUCAAUAUGAAGAUCUUUCAACUGGAGACCGUAAUUCUGUUCAUUCUACUUCUUUUAGGAGUUCAGGCCAACAGCCGAACUGGGGUUUUAAGUCCAGAUGGAAAAAAUCAAUGUCCCAAAAACACGACACCAGUGCUAAAUGGCGGAAAAAUAACAUGUUUACCAACCAAUAAAAGUUAAUAACACAUUA